AGAGUUUGAUCAUGGCUCAGGAUGAACGCUAGUGGCAGGCUUAAUACAUGCAAGUCGAGGGGCAGCAUGACUGUAGCAAUACAGUUGAUGGCGACCGGUAAACGGGUGCGGAACACGUACAGAACCUUCCUUCGAGCGGGGAAUAGCCCAGAGAAAUUUGGAUUAAUACCCCAUAGUACAACGGAGUGGCAUCACUUUGUUGUUAAAGAUUUAUCACUUGAAGAUGGCUGUGCGGCUGAUUAGGUAGUUGGCGGGGUAACGGCCCACCAAGCCUGCGAUCAGUAACUGGUGUGAGAGCACGACCAGUCACACGGGCACUGAGACACGGGCCCGACUCCUACGGGAGGCAGCAGUAAGGAAUAUUGGUCAAUGGACGAAAGUCUGAACCAGCCAUGCCGCGUGGAGGAUGAAGGUCCUCUGGAUUGUAAACUUCUUUUAUAUGGGACGAAAAAGGGUUUUCUAACUCGUCUGACGGUACCAUAUGAAUAAGCACCGGCUAACUCCGUG
rnacentral:rRNA from 1 species